UUGCAGUGAGCUGAGAUCACACCACUGCACUCCAACCUGGGCGACAGAGUGAGACGUCUGGGGAAAAAAACAAGAAACAAAAAACAAAAACAAAAACAAAAAAACAGAAUCUGAUUGAAGAAGUUGCCUUUGAGGUCAAACCAGCUAAGACUUGUUACAACCAAGAGAACCGGCCAAAUGACUUCAGAAAGACCUCACGCUUCAUUGUAAUCCCGUUUCCAAGCUAAAUUGCAUUCCCAUCUGUGCCAUGACAGUUGACAAUCUCCAUGACAAUGAGUAGAAGUCCUAAAAGGACCGAAAGGAAAGCAGUAUUACCGGUUUGGAGAAGUUCAAUGCCUGUUCCCAUAAAAUAUAUGAAUAUUCCUCCCCCUCACUUUUAAUGCCCAACCCCUCCAUUAGAGCAAUACUACAUUUUAGCCCCCUCACCCCUCACUAGCCGCCUCACUAGUGGAGAAGUUGAUUUGGGAGAGCUGUUCUCGUCUUUAGAAGUCCUGUGCAGGAAAUAAAGCUCGCUCUGCUUGAGGCUCACUUUCGGUUUCAUGUAUUGGCUCUGCGACUCCCAAUGAGGAAAGAUCCCAUCUUCUGCAGCUACCAAGAUUUUUGGUAACAAGAAGAGUGAUUAUUUUUCAUUUUCUGUCACACCAAGGAGGAUUGUCCAUCCAGUAAUGGGCCUGCCCUUCACCAACAGGUGCACAGAAGAGAGAGUCAGAAGAGGAGAAGGUGAUGUGAAGAAGGAGGCAGAGAUUGGAACAAUGGGGCUACAAGCCAAGGUAUGCUGACAAAUGACCUACAGCUGCCAGAGCUGGAGGACUCAAGGAAUGGAUUUGCUCCUAGAGCCUUCAGAGGGAAUGUGGCCCUGUAUAUUGAUUUUGGAGUUUGGGCCUCCAGAACUGUGAAAGAAUAAUUUUCUGUUGUUUUAAGUUGCCAGCUUUGAGGGCAUUUGUUGUGGCAGCUACAGGAAGUUAAAAUAUGGAUGGUCAACUUCAACACCAACAGUGGUACAUCAAAUUGAUAUUAUAUACUCUUGAUAAGGUAUUUGGAGAACAGCACUUCACCUCAUCUAAGCAUCCAUAACCAUAGUCUAACUAACCAUGAUCUAAUCCUUAACUAAAUUCAACUUGAGGGACAUUUUACAAUACAUCUGGUCAGUACUUCCCAAAAUUGUGAAGGGCAUCAAAAAUUAGGAAAAUCUCAGGAACUAUCACAGACCAGAGGAGGCCAAGGAGGCAUGAAGGAGACUAAAUGUAAUGUGAUAUUCUCAAUGGAAUCCUGGAACACAGAAAGGACAUUAGGGGAAGGCUAAUGAACUCCAAAUAAAGUCUGUAGUUUAUUAUUUAGUAAUAAUAAGGUACGAAAAUGGCUUCAUUAGCUGUGACAAAUGGACCAUAAUAAUGUGAGAUGUUCACACCAGGGGAAACUGACUAUGGAGCAGAUGGCAACUCUGUACUACCUUUGCAACUUUUAUGUAAAUUUAAAACUCUUCUAAAAUAAAAUUAUUUAAAAGUAGCACUCAGGAAAGGAUUAAGGAGUGGAAGAAAAAAAUGAUCAACUUUCCAUUUUCCUGGAGUGUUGCCAUGAAAAGGCUGGAGAGAGGGUUUGCAAGGAGGAAUUGGAAACCUCAGAGGCAGCUCCAGAGCCCUCCUCUGUUCCGCAGAACCGGAACCCCGCGCAGUCCAGGGCUUAGAAAGCCUUUCCACCCCCUUGGACAACCCCAGCCCCACCUCAUUGAUAACAUCCUUUCUGGGUCAACAAUCUCUGUCUUAGACCACCACCCCGUCCUCUCCAGAGGGGCUCAUCAGAACCCAAGCGCAUAGCGGCAGCGCCCCCGUGUGGCCGAAGGACUGAGGACAGACACUCAGCUCCCCUUUCCCUUCCCCACCUGGGACCUCCCUAGGGUCCCCUUCGGAUCUCGGUCGCAGAACAGGGCUCUGUGCUCAUGGGGGCGACCCUGUCCCGCGACAGAUGUUUUUUCCCAGUUAGUGGCGGUGGACUCUGACCUCAAGGCAGAGGGAGGUCUGCAGGCCCUAAGACCUGGUUCCCAAGUCCGGGUGCACCCCACAGACAUACCUGUGCUCCCAGUACGCAGCCUCUCAGUGGUUUUGGAAUGAGGCCUUGGGCUCUCAGUGUUUUUGGACUCUCAGUGUUUUUGGAACGAGGUCUUGGAGUCCCUGAAAUUUGUUCUGCUGCUUCCAGAGAGGAAGAUCCCUUCUCCCCGGAAUCCACUAAUUAAGUCUCCAGCCCUAGUACGGAGGGAACCGGGAAGGACAUGGCAUUGGAGUUGGAGACUAUAUUGGGUUACAAGGAUGUCUAGGAUCAAACUGGGCUGAGCAUUUGCCCCCAGUCCAUCGGAAACCCGAGGGCGGUUCCUCCGCCACUCCCCGGACCUCCAGGACCCAGGCAUCUGAACCUACACCCUAUUGGAUCCUAGAGGGCGGCCCCUCCCUAGCUUUGAGAGUCCAGGACCCUGGCAUCCGACCUCUUCUUCCCAUUUGUGACCUAAGCAGACAGGACCUGCUGUCUAUAUCCCUGAAUCCUGGCCCUCUGCCAUCUCCAAUCCCUGAUUAAAGGUCCUUGAUUCUGGACUCAAAUCUAAUUUCUGGUCCCGUCGAUUGUCCGUGACGGUCGCCCACCAGGAGAGGCUCCCCAGCGCGAAACAUGCUGCAGCUGAGCGACAGCGGCGGAUUUUGGCGCUUUGGCCCAGACUCUCUCCCCGAAGCGCCCGGGACUCCACCCUGGAGGCUACUCAGGGAUCUGUCUUCCUCUGCGGCAGGAGGGGGCGCAAGGGGAUUUCUGCCACUGAGGCUGCACUCACCAUCCUGGGUAAGCCUCUCCCCACCGCUCCCCUGUGGACCUCAAAAAUUACAUAUUGGGAAAAUACCGACCUGUCGGCCCCAGACUCAACUAUAAGAGGUUCUGGUCUCUAGAUUUAUUCAGACCCCGUUUUUUGAGUAUCUACUUUUCGUCAGGCGCUAUUCUAGGCGCUUGGGUGAAAUCCAAACAGGCACAAAUCAUGGCCCUCGAAUAAUUUACGUUCAGUUGAAAGAUAUGGCCAAUAAAAGUUACUGAAGUCAACUACAGGGGUGUCCGAAAAUAAAGGAUGAUUAAGAGAAAAGCAAAGCACAGAAGAUGAAAGGAGCCGGGGCAAUUUUACGUUAUUAUUAUCGGUGUGAGAUUUCCCGAGAGGCGCCCUGCGAGGUCCCAGGAGUCUUCCAGGAACGCCGGCAUCACCAGGAGCUGCAAGUCCCGCUCCCCGCAGCCUUCACAGCCGCCGGUCCCGCCCGAGCUCGCCCCGGCCUCGCGGCUCCCACCCCGGAGGAGCGCCGCGGAGCAGGGCAAAAACUCUGGAACACAAAGCCAAGCCGGACCCAACACAAAAGCCCCGGGGCUGAACCACGGACACCGGUGGCCAAGCCGGAAGCCCGCACCAACCCCAGCCCACACACUACAGGCCACUUAUUUUAUUUUAUUCUUUUUAAAAUGUUGGUUUCUGGUCUGUGCAUUUACCUCGGUGUGACUCAGGAAGGACACUGGAAAUCCACUGAUCUGGCCAGGACAGAACCACAUGUGUGUUUAGGAAAAGUGGCCUUAUUUUUCCAACCCUAGGGGCUCACGGGAUGCCCUUAGAACAGACUGACUGCAGCAAUUCCCAGUUAAGGCAGAAGGUUGACAUGACAUCAAUGUUUUAGGGUUAAGUUCUCACGAAGGGCAGAAAAGUGGGAAGCCCGUGCUUUUCCAUGUUAAUCAGUUGGUUCCAUAAACAUCAUUCCAUUUAUGUUUUUGUGUUUUUUAUUAAUAAUUCCUUUGAGCUUCACUGGGAGAGAGAGUGUGACUGCGGAGCUCCGUUUUGUAAAGCAUUGGGGUGGCUAAGAAAGGGAAGUAACUGGCCCCAGAAUCUCACAGUCACCCAGUGACCUUCAGCCCAAGAAUCUGAUGGCUACUCCUUCACUCCAAGGGAAAGGAGGCCAUCCAGAGAGAAGAGAAUUACAAUAAGAGUGCAGACAGUGUCCCAAACACAGUCCUGAGUUUCAUAGAGAAGCACAGGAGGAAGCAAGUGUCCAAGUAUCCAGAGUCCUAUGAGGUAGGGAUUUCAGUCCUCAAAGCUACCCUCUCCCAUCUGCCAGGUCUUCUGUGGGCGAGCGUGGCUGUGGUUCCCUUCCCAUUCCCUCAGGGCAGUGUGCUGUAAGUUUCCAUGUGAGGGCCAGUACUCCUUGCCUCUCAUCUCCCUCUCCAGUUUGCUGCAAAUGCAAGGAACCCCAUACUCGCCUUUGCCCCACCCCUUGCCUCUCCUGGGGACAUUCUUCCUGAUCAGUAGUGGGCCUUGUGAGGACCUGCAGGACAGCCUGAGUGGGAGCUACUGCAAGGGCUCAAGGAGUUCUGGGAACCCCUCUGCACUCACUCACCUCCCCACCAAGUGCCCCUGCAUUCUUCCUGCACGGAGCUCCAGGUGUUAACAGCUCCUGGGCAGGUUAGCAGGUUCCAGGCAGCCCAGGCUGAAUGGACCUUAGGAGAUGAGGUCCUCUGCUGGGGGUUCACUGUUCCAAGAGGACAGGGUUCUGAGUUUAUGGGGGAAGGGCUGGAUGGGAACUAGGAGACCAGUUAUAGGCCUGUUGCCAUCAAUCCUGGGACCAGUUAAUUGAUCUGUGUUUAGUUCAGGGUAGCACAAAUGAACUUGUCCUUUUCUCUGUAUAACUUUUUUCAGAAACCAUCAUGCCUAGCCUUCCUUCCCUGGGCACGGAGGAGACCUGCCUCAGGCGAAGUUCUCUGUGGAAUUAAAAAGUCUUUUGGGCUCAGCUGUCCCCAGAGGCCUUCAGAACUCACCAAGGAUAGAGCUGCAGACUUCUGGUUGUUAAAUAGGGACUAAAACUGAUCACGCCUGCAAAUCAAUUGCAAAUCAAUCUUUCUUCCUAUUGCGGCAGUGCCCCUCACUUAGUCACCUGUCUUAAAUAGAAGCUUCGGUCCCCUCCUGGGCCCCAACCCUAUGGUCCCCAGGUUCCCCGUUUUUCACGUCUGAUCUCAGUUGACCCGCUUCCCCACACACCAUUUUUGACCAACCAGUCCACAGAACGCCCUGGGCUUUCUAAUGGGCUAGGUUCUCCUUAGAGAGGCAGGGAGGUGGAGAGGGAGCAUGGACGCCCAGCGCCUGCUGGGCAAACCUGAAUCUGGGGCCUGACCUAGCCGGUAGCCGGUGACGGUGUCCAGGGGCCGGUGGUGGCUUGGCGACUGACUCCUCUCUGGUCCUAUGCUCUCGGCCCCAUCCCCCCGCUCACAGCCACCUCCUGAAGCCACCAGUGCUGCGCCCUCUUGGCCACGCAGGGGAAGAGCGGACUGGACGGAAGCAGCGGACUCUGGGCGCUGUCAAGGUCACUGUUGUGAAAAGCUGGGAGACCAGAUGUGGACACAGGGAGGCCUGAACCGGAGGCGCGGCUGGCCAGAGGCCUCGUGUCUGCCCCUCUUCACUGCCUCCUUCUCCCAGGGAAGCCCCGCGUGUGUCCUCAAAGCAGAGAGUGGUUUCCAAAGGGACCCCCACAGCACCUAAUUGGGCCAUCCUGCCCCAGGCUGGAGGGUGGGUGCUCAUGGGGUCGCCAGGCACCAAGGGCCCCACCUGAGCGGACCCGGUCUCUCCUCCAGGCUCGGCUGGGCCUCGAGGGCGGCGGGCAGCUCGGCUCUGAGGAAGGCGCCGGCCGGCGCUGCCCAACUCGGGCAGCCUUCCUGGCCCACCCGGGAGUUGAGUUUCAAGGCUUCUCGGAUAGGCCAGCCCAGAUUCGGAGCGGAGGCUUUCUAAGGCCGCGAACCUGAACCUCGGAGAGAAGCAGCCCUGGUUCCCUGAGCCCGGGGCCACCGCUGGGCGCUUCCUCUUGGGGGCAGCUAGGAGCAGCGGAAACCUAGCAGCGGCUCCACACUAUUUAAGUUGAGGUUCUUCUGCCGUUCGGCUGCGGUUAGCGGUUUCAGCUUAGUGUACCACUUAUUACUCAUAUUAUUACUUAGUGUACUUAGUGCACUUGGUGCUCUAAGUUGACCAAGUUUACCACUUAGUGUACCUAGUGUAUUUAACAUAACAGCGUAUUUAGUGUUUCAGUGUAAACGUAGACAGGCUUCUUUCUUCCGGUGAGAGACGAAUUCCGUGGUUAGAGGGUACUUGGUCUUUAGAAGACGACUUUGGUGUCCAUUGCCAACCCCAUCCGAGAUCGCAGCCCUAUUCCCUGUCAGUCCCAGCACAUCAGCAAAGGGCUCGGUGGCUCUCUCCAGAGGAGACUGAACGAGGUUGUCAAAGCGGCUGGAUCAAAAGUGUUGCCAUGUCGGAUGGAGCGGUGUCCACGAUGAACCUGAGCAUGGUACCAGCAUCUGGGGGUGUGGAAUUGGGAGGGAAAACUGGGGCCCCACAGUGUGAGGAAGGAGGCACAUGGUCAAACCAGACUGGCCAGAGUCCUCAGUAUUUAGGAAUCUCAAAAUACUACAUCUCUAAAUACUAAAUACUGAGCUGGGAUGGAAUCCCUGUGCUGGAGGCUAGUGGUUCAAACUCUUUUUCAGCAUGAGGUUCCGUCAGGUUAGGCUGCGGUUUCUCAUCUGCAGGCACAGGUGACUGACUGCCUUCAGCAUGGGCCCAUGUGUCCAUCUCUCCUCCUGACCCUGUCUCAUUACAGGAGAGGGAACUGGGUGCUGCAGGGUGGGGAAUCCAGGAAGUCAGAGGGGUUGCACCUGGAUAAAGCGUUUUGAAAACACAAGUCCCAGGGCUGAUUAUUGAUUUUACUACAUGCAGCCUGUUUUUAUUAAUGAAGUUUCUUUUCUUUUCCCUUAACUUCCAAUGGUACACUAUAAUGUACAUCAACGUCCUUAAAACGUAUGUAGUCCUUUUCACCUAGUAACUAUACUGAUCCUUAAGUAUCCAUUCUCUAGUCAAGGGUUAUACCUGUUUCUCCUACCCCCCACCAGUGCUGGGUCUGGUGUACCCCUCCCGCAGCAUCACCUCCCCCUAAACAGGCACCUUUCCCUAUAAUUUCUUCCUUUUUCUCUAUGCCUUCCUAUCAUGUUUGCACUCACUGUGAAGUAAGGAAACGCUUCCCAACGCUGUUUUUCCUUCUUACCCUUAGGAGAUUUCUCCCUCUGCGCUGAAGAUCUCACUGUGCAUGUCCAGCCCUGGAUCGUGGUGGACUCUGGUGGCCACUGGAGUCCUUGGAGCUGCCUCCCUCUGGCUCUGCUGGGGCUGGAUUCGAGAGUCAAGGUCACCCCCAGCAGGAACAACUGGAGCCACUGGAGGAUCCCCAAGGACACAGGUUGCUCUUUUCAUGCAGGAAGAAUCUGAAUCGUUUCCAUCCAGUUUCCCCGGCAUGCAGCAGAAUACAACACAAGGGGCUGCAGUCUUCUCUGACUCUUAGGACCCUUACAAGAUCCUGUUCUGUCCAAAUCACGGUGAUUUGCGCAAGCAUCCUCAGGGCUCUGGACCUUAGUUUCUUUCCCUGGUUGAUUGAUUGAUCAUAUAGAUGGCCUGACUCACAUAGCUGAAAAUCAGAUGUGGUGAAAGUGCACUGAGACCAGAAACAAUGUUAUCGUCCUCAAAUGCAUGCCCAGAGAGCACUGAAUAAAUUUUUAAAACACCUGACCUCAGCUGGCAUUUC